UAACGGAAUUAAAAUGCAAACGGAAGAGAAAGGGGAUUUUUAUAGACAUGACAUCAUGAAAUUUAUAGAUACUAUUCCUAGAAUCAAUGUCAUUAACAGACGUUAUAAAUCGUAGAAUUUCAAAUUUUAAAUUUGGUGAAAUUAGUAAGGCGGACGUGGAAACAUUCAGAUAUAAUUUUGAUAGUUAUCUGUUUAAUUAUUCCUGCAACAGCCGAACUUUCUGAUGUGGAAACGUUAAGAAAUGUUACAAGUUGCGAUCUCGUUGCCAGUGUUGAUCUGACGUGUGUAGGGGAUGAGAUGAUAGCGGUCCAAUCAUUGCAGUAUGCCUAUGAUGUCCGAUGUGAAGGUACCUGUUGUAACAAAUACACUAGUACAGACUGUUUAGAAUACGCCAGUGAAGCUGACAUUCAGACAUUGCGGCGUACUUGUUCUGGUCAAUCAACUUGUAGUCUAUCAUCUUUUCAAGACAAGCGGAGUUUCUGUGCGUACGGAGUUAAAGACACAUCAUACGUUUUUCUACAAUACUUUUUUAUACCGAAAACGAGAGUAACAAAUAUCUGUUCCACUGGAACAAAGCUACUGUCGGACAAUCUACCAUUAUACAUUACCAAUGAGAACUACCCAAGCGUCACGACCGGACAUGAAUUUUGUUCCUGUUCUCUAGAAACUUAUUCAUGCACAGCUAACAUACGUGUUUACACGCUUAAUACAGACUUAUAUUUAGACGAGAGACAUUGUGAGCAAAGUCUCAAAUUCGUAGACAAAUCUAAUAAUACUAUAACUGAACUCAAUUGUGAAAGUCACUACAAAAACGAAAUAGAAACAAACAAAAUAGCCAAGCUUUAUACUAGAGUGGACUUCAUCAACAAUAGUACGGCGGAUCAAGAAGGAUAUUUCUUCAUAGGCCUUGAUUGUGAGUAUAUACCGCAUUAUAUUUAAACAUAACAAUGAUAUUUGCGCACAGACACAUUGGGGGUCAGGACCUCCACCCUAUUCUGCCCCUAUCCAGUAUUUGUUUAGAAUUAUAGUUGACGACGAUUAAACGGGUUUUGUUUCAAAUUCGGCAUGUUUUAAAAGGAUGUACAUUUUUACCAUACAAGUACAAUUGAUCGUUCUAUGUUAAUUUUAAACUUUUAAAACUUAAGUUUAACCUUAACUUUAUUUUAAGUGUUUACAAAAAUCUUUGAAUAUUUAUAAAUCAAUAAUUCCUUUGCAUAUUCUGUCAAUGUGAAAAGAUUACAAAAACGUCUGCGGGUUGGCGUUUUCUUAUUUAGUAACAUGAGUACGCCUUAAUCUAU